CGUGUAGGUGGUUUAGUAAGUCUGGCGUGAAAUUUUUCGGCUUAACCGGGAAAGGUCGUCGGAUACUGCAAGACUAGAGGACGGUAGAGGCGUGUGGAAUUCCGGGUGUAGUGGUGAAAUGCGUAGAGAUCCGGAGGAACACCAGUGGCGAAGGCGACACGCUGGGCCGUACCUGACACUGAUGCGCGACAGCAUGGGGAGCAAACAG
rnacentral:rRNA from 1 species